rnacentral:rRNA from 1 species
UGCCUAAUACAUGCAGUCGUGCGGACCUUUUAAAAGCUUGCUUUUAAAAGGUUAGCGGCGGACGGGUGAGUAACACGUGGGCAACCUGCCUGUAAGACUGGGAUAACGCCGGGAAACCGGGGCUAAUACCAGAUAGUUUUUUCCUCCGCAUGGAGGAAAAAGGAAAGGCGGCUUCCCAUUGCCACUUACAGAUGGGCCCGCCGCGCCCAGCCUUUUUGGCGGUUUCUUGG